rnacentral:piRNA from 1 species
UGGCACUCAUCCCUGGCCUGUGUCUACAGGA